UGAACGCUAGCGGCAGGCUUAACACAUGCAAGUCGAGGGGUAACAUUGUGCUUGCACAGAUGACGACCGGCGCACGGGUGCGUAACGCGUAUAGAACCUACCUUUUACAGAGGAAUAGCCUUUAGAAAUGAAGAUUAAUGCCUCAUAGUAUUGUAGACUGGCAUCAGUUUAUAAUUAAAGAUUUAUCGGUAAAAGAUGGCUAUGCGUCCUAUUAGUUAGUUGGUAAGGUAACGGCUUACCAAGACAGCGAUAGGUAGGGGUCCUGAGAGGGAGAUCCCCCACACUGGUACUGAGACACGGACCAGACUCCUACGGGAGGCAGCAGUGAGGAAUAUUGGACAAUGGAGGAGACUCUGAUCCAGCCAUGCCGCGUGUAGGAAGAAUGCCCUAUGGGUUGUAAACUACUUUUAUACAGGAAGAAACACUGGUAUGUAUACCAGCUUGACGGUACUGUAAGAAUAAGGACCGGCU
rnacentral:rRNA from 1 species